rnacentral:rRNA from 1 species
AGAUUGAACGCUGGCGGCAUGCCUAACACAUGCAAGUCGAACGGCAGCGCGGGUAGCAAUACCUGGCGGCGAGUGGCGGACGGGUGAGGAAUACAUAGGAAUCUACCCUGUCGUGGGGGGAUAACGUAGGGAAACUUACGCUAAUACCGCAUACGACCGAGAGGUGAAAGCGGCGGACCGCAAGGCGUCGCGCGGCUGGAUGAGCCUAUGUCCGAUUAGCUAGUUGGCGGGGUAAGAGCCCACCAAGGCGACGAUCGGUAGCUGGUCUGAGAGGAUGAUCAGCCACACUGGGACUGAGACACGGCCCAGACUCCUACGGGAGGCCAGCAGUGGGGAAUAUUGGACAAUGGGCGCAAGCCUGAUCCAGCAAUGCCGCGUGUGUGAAGAAGGCCGUUCGGUUGUAAAGCACUUUUUGGUAACGGAAGAAAAGCCGUUAGGUUAAUACCCGAUGGUGAUGACGUACGUAAGAAUAGCACCGGCUAACUUCG